GGGGAUGUGGCUCAAUGGUUAAGCACUCACCCAGCGUCACAAAGUCCUGGGUUCAAUCCCCAGCACCUCCC
rnacentral:tRNA from 1 species